UACGUAGGUGGCAAGCGUUGUCCGGAUUUACUGGGCGUAAAGGGCGUGCAGGCGGUUUGUUAAGUGCAGGGUGAAAGCUCCCGGCUCAACUGGGAGAGGUCCUUGCAUACUGGCAAACUCGAGGGAGGCAGAGGAAAGUGGAAUUCCCGGUGUAGUGGUGAUAUGCGUAGAUAUCGGGGAGGAACACCUGUGGCGAAGGCGGGCUUUCUGGGCCUUACCUGACGCUGAGACGCGAAAGCGUGGGGAGCGAACCGGG
rnacentral:rRNA from 1 species